rnacentral:rRNA from 1 species
GUGUCAGCAGCCGCGGUAAUACGUAGGAAGCAAGCGUUAUCCGGAUUUACUGGGCGUAAAGUGGACGUAGGCGGUCUUUCAAGUCGGAUGUGAAAUCUCCUGGCUUAACUGGGAGGGGUCAUCCGAUACUGUUGGACUAGAGGACAUCAGGGGAAGGUGGAAUUCCCGGUGUAGUGGUGAAAUGCGUAGAUAUCGGGAGGAACACCAGUGGCGAAGGCGGCCUUCCAGGAUGUUUCUGACGCUGAGGUCCGAAAGUGUGGGGAGCGAACAGGAUUAGAAACCCGCGUAGUCC